AAGUCCUUGGCAGGGCUCCGAGCUUCGGGGUGGCGGCCCCGGGUGGAGUAACAAAGCUGGCGCCAGAUCUGGGUCAGGGACUCAGGCUCUGCCCCUUCUCUCCCGCGUCCCCGCCUCCGGGACGGGGCUCUGCACUCCAGCUGCUGCCGGUCCACGGUGCGGAGCGAAGAGGGGCCACAGCAGCCUCCCGUCUCCUGCCACUGCGUCUCUUCCAAUCAGGAGACCAUGCUCUCGCCCAGCGUGGAAACUUGACCCCCAGGCCGGAUUCUCAGAGAAACGGCUCUGAUCCAUCUGGCUGGGCUCAGGUGUCCCGCGGAGGUGUCCUGAGCUGUGGCCAGGCAGAGCUCUCGGUAGCAAAGGUGGCGGCUGCAGGCCUGUCCGAUGAAGCCGUGGGUUGGCGGGGAAGGGCGUGACGGGUGUGCUGGGCUGGGGUGGGGGCCAGAGGGGCAGGAGCGCAGGCGGGACUACCAGGGCCGUGAAAUGCUCUCCAUGGGUUCUCGUUUCCUAAAAUGUUUUCUUGUUUGUUUGGCUGUGCUGGAUCUUAGUUCCAGCAGGUGGGAUCAUUGUUGGGGCAUGUGGGACCUAUUUCCCUGGCCAGGGAUUGAACCCAGGCCCCCGGCAUUCAGGGCAUGGAACCUUAACCAUCGAGCUACCAGGGAAGUCCCCGUAUGAUGGUAUAAUGGUGGGUGUUGUCGUUGUGCCUUCUAUCCAUUUCUAUAGAACGUGCAACACCAAGAGCGAAACUGCACUGUGGACUUUGGAUGGUUACGCAGUGUCUGUGUGGGCUCACCCUUGGCAUCCUGGAAAGUGGUCACAGAGUCAGUUUUCUGGGAUAGCAAUUUCUGUAUAGAAUGGACUUCCUCCAAACCACCUAAAAUGAUCAAAAGUUUAUCCACAUUUAAAAAGAUCAAGAAUGUGUUGGAACAUUUAUUUUUAGCUUUUGUAUUUAUUAUUACCAGGAUAUGAAGGUAGGCAACACAAUAAUAGAAGUGGAUAGAGAGAAAGGGAAAGCAGAACUCCUUUUUUCAUUAAUUUUUCACUUAAGAUUAUGCAUGACCUCAGUAGACUCUAAUACUGGGAAAUCAAUCAAUCAGUCUCUCUCUCCAAAAGGCAGGCUCUGUGCAAGCAGGAACCAGGCCCAUCUGGUUCAUCUUUGGAAUAGUGAGCGGUGCAUAGGGCAUGGUCCAUAAAUAUUUGCUGAGUGACAGGUUGAUUUUUGAGGCAGAAGUAGAAAAUACUGGUCAAUUAGGAAAGUACUUGUGACCGAUGUCAGGAUAAUCCUAUAUUGUUUUGUCUUGAUUUUAUUAGCUAAUAUACUGGCUGCAUUGUUCACAGAGUGUAGGGCAGUAUCAAUAGACUUUCUUUUCUAUCUAGAAAUCCGUUCUCACUCACAGAAAGCCUAGUGCAAAGAACGUUUUUCCUGUGUAUCGAGUGAGAGCAAGUUGCCCCAUCACCACUGAACACUGUAGUGUGUAUCCUGCGCUAUUCUACAUAAUUGCAAUACAGCCAUCAAAUUCAAGUCAUUAACGCUGACGUAUUGCUAUCAUCUAAUUUAUGCACCCUUUUCAGAUUUCUUCAGUUGUUUCAAUAAUGUCAUUUAUAGCAAAAGGAUUCAGUCCAAGAAUCAUGUAUUGUAUUGAAUUUUUAUGUCUCCUUCAAUCUGGAAUAUUUCCCAAGUCUCUCCUUGACUUUUGUGACAUUGAUUUGACAGUUUGGAAACUUACAAAUGAGUCAUUUUUUUAAAAUGUCUCUCAAGUUUGAUUUGUCGGAUAUUUCCUUAUAAUUUGCUGCUGCACAGUUGGGCUUCCUUGGUUUGGUGGUUCAGGUGGUAAAGAAUCUGCCUGCAAUGCAGAAGAUGUGAGUUAGAUCCUUGGGUCAGGAAGAUCCCCUGGGGAGGGCAUGGCAACCCACUCAAGUGUUCUUGCCUGGAGAAUUUCAUGGACAUAGGAACCUUGCGGGCUACAGUCCAUGGGGUCUCAAAGAAUUGGACACGCCUGAGCAACUGACGCAUAAUUGGCGAGAAUGUCACCAUAAGGUGACACGGGCAUUGUGACUGUGUCCUUCUCACUAACCCUGUCAAGUAGCCCAUGAUUCCAGCUUGCCCCACCCAGUCCUCCUCGUGUUCACUGUGAUCACUUCCCGAUUUUUCCAACCAAAAGAUGCUCUUUUCUGUUUGCAAUUAAUGUGUAUUUUGUGGGGAGGUACAUUAAGAUUAUAUAAAUACAAAAUUCCUCAUCAAAAUUUGAUGAGUAGUUCUAUAUCUGUUGAUUUCCCUUGGCUCAGUUUGGUGAUGGUUGCCAAAUGGUGAUUGGCUGAUUCCAUCAUUCUUUCUGCAUUUAUCAAUUGAUGGAAAGCACCAAUUAAUUAAUAUAUUUGUUUCUUACUUUCUGUUCCCUUCACCCAUUUCUCCCACCUCUCAUACCCUGUCUCUGGCCGUCACCAAUCUGUUCUCUGUAUCUAGGAGCUUAUUAAUAUAUCUUUUAGAUUCUGCAAAUAAGAGAGGUCAUAGGGUAUUUGUCUUUUUCUAUUCUGAUCCGUUGAUCUGAGUGCUUGUUUUUACACCAAUACUGUACUGUUUUAAUUACUGUAGCUUUGUAAUAUAUAAAUUGCUUAUGCCUAAUUUUUAACUAGUGGGCACAAAAUUCAAAUAAUGGAGCUAAAGACUAACAUCCCUAGAAACAUUAUAAACAAAUUCAAACUUAGGUGAAUGUGAGUAAGGAUUUUCUAAGAAUAAAGCUUUGCAAAUAAGUUGAACAUAAAAAAAGUAAAAAGCAUUCUGCCUGAAUUCACCACUCAGAUGUCCCUGUAUCUACUCUGGGGCAAAAAGAUUUGAGGAUGGAGAGAUACCAGAAAUGACACUGCUUGAACUGCCUCUGAAGGGAGGAAACUGAGCCAAAACUCGCAGCAGUGGGGGGCUGGUACACCUCCUGGAAAAGGGAGUUCAGGGGAGGCACUCUGAGCGAUGCAUAGUUAUUAUAGCGUGCACUAAAUAUUUGCCCAACCAAUGGGUUGAAAUAUGUGAAAACGACAAUGUCAUCCCGUGUUAGUCAAAGUGACCCAACCUUUGUCUGGUGUGCAUUUGGGCUUUUGUUGGGCUUUUGUGUGACUGGAACACUGGAAGUUCCUUAAGCUCUUUGUAUCGCACAUCUUGGUAAUGCCUUUCUUUUUACAACCAGAACACUCUGUGCUUCCAAUUCUUUACUCUUGUUUGUAUACAUACACGAAGUUUAUGACUUGCUGACUCAGAUUCCCUCAGUCUGUUAAUACACACUGGGGGUAAGUUAGGGACUUUGAAAUAAUGCACUAACUUCUUAAUGAAUCCGGAUGCCUUCUUGGGAUUGUUGGGUCUCUUCCAGUGUGACAAAUGGCAUUCUGGCAGGGUGACAGAGGCGUUCUCUCCACAAUUCCAAGACAACAGUGGAAGAGCUGUAAAGAGAC
ensembl:lncRNA